rnacentral:rRNA from 1 species
GAUGAACGCUAGCGGCAGGCCUAACACAUGCAAGUCGAGGGGUAGCAGGAUUAAGCUUGCCUAAUUGCUGACGACCGGCGCACGGGUGCGUAACGCGUAUGCAACCUACCUUAUACUGGGGUAUAGCCCGGAGAAAUUCGGAUUAAUCCCCCAUAGUACUAAUGAUUCGCAUGGUUUAUUAGUUAAAGCAUUGCUGUAUAAGAUGGGCAUGCGUCCUAUUAGCUAGAUGGUGAGGUAACGGCUCACCAUGGCUACGAUAGGUAGGGGGCCUGAGAGGGUGGUCCCCCACACUGGUACUGAGACACGGACCAGACUCCGACCGGAGGCAGCAGUGAGGAAUAUUGGUCAAUGGGCGGAAGCCUGAACCAGCCAGGACGGGUGCAGGAAGAAUGCACUGUGGGUUGUAAACUGCUUUUAUUUGGGAAUAAGCCUCUUUACGUGUAGAGAGCUGAAGGUACCAAAUGAAUAAGCACCGGCUAACUCCGUGCCAGCAGCCGCCGUAA